ACAAUGUUUUAAUAUUAUUUAUGACAAUUGUGAUAAUUGUAAAUUAUACAUUUAACUCACCUCUUACCUCAAAUGUAGCAGUUCUUUAGUGACUUCUUCCGUGAUUUCCAAUUUAGCCUAUAAUUAUAGAGCAGAGACAUUUAGUUGCUUGUUAGCUGGUUUAAGGUGUCUCUCUGCUGGCUGUUACAGAAUGUAAACUUUAAAUAUGAAGCCUUUAUAAGAUGUUAAGACUGUUUUAUAUUUAGUGUUUUUGUUUAGGGUAGGGAACAAGCAUGUAAAUGAUGUUUUAUUAGUGUUUGUUAUUUUCUCUUAGUAGAGUCAACAGUCAAUAGGCUUUCAUGUGAAGAUGAAAGCACACGUGCAGUCUCUGAAGAUGACUGCUGGAGAAGAUGCAGAACAAGAAGAACCAAACAAUCAUGGAUCAUGUAAUUCAACAGCAGGAGGACUGCAUUGAGAGAUUGCAGCACAACCUGGAGAUAUUGAGGAAGUUGUAUGAUUCAAGCAGGAUUGGUUUCUGAAUAAGGUACAGUAAAUAAAUAAAUGAAUUAACCAUGUUUCA
rnacentral:lncRNA from 1 species